rnacentral:rRNA from 1 species
GUCAGCAUGGCCUUUAUAUCCUGGGCUACACACACGCUACAAUGGGCCAACACAAUAGGUUGCUAAGCCGCGAGGUGGAGCCAAUCCAUAAAAGUUGGUCUCAGUUCAGAUUGUAGGCUGCAACCCGCCUGCAUGAAGAUGGAGUUGCUAGUAACCGCAGGUCAGCUAUACUGCGGUGAAUACGUUCCCGGGCUU